GUCUGUUGUCGAUGUGAGUUGGCAGACCUGGCAAACAGGGCGGCCGCCCACAGUUAGUUUGUUUUGGAGUUUGAUAGGAAAGGAAGCAUUUCAACGCAGACAGGUUUUGAGCAGUGGUUCUGUAGGCAAGCUGUCCUCAGUGAAAGGUCUGGAAUUAAUUUUGAAAACAGUCACAAGAACUGCUACCUGCCAUGUUCUUCCGGCAAAAUGGGACAUCUCCACACCGGAGCUUGAACGUGCCUGCAUCUCUUAAUCAGCAUUUCCCACACCGAUGGAUUGGCUUUGAUAGCUGUAUCUCUUGGCCGGCCAGAUCACCGGAUAUCACACCCGGCUCCCUUGGGACAGAAGGAAGGCCGAGGAGGGUGACCCGCAAGUGGCCAUCUGGGCCACAUUCCUUCAACUCAAUGUGUUCCACAAAGCCAAAAUUAAGCAUUCAGUCUAAUUUAGGUGAAGUAAGGCGUUCCAGAAAUCAUGUAAUUACACCUUCUUCGUUUUUCUUAUAAGCCAGAUCAACAUGCCGAAGCCUGGUUUACCUUUCAUCUCAAGGCUCAGUCCGUUCGGGAAUUGAACCACAGACCUGGACUG